rnacentral:rRNA from 1 species
GAUUUCUGGUUUAAUGCACCUGGCCCGCGGCCACUAGGCUUGUGAGUGCCGGCGCGCGUUUACCAUCCGAGAAAACGUUUCUGCCAUUCACUUGGUUGGGAUCGCGAUCUAGAUCUUUUACUUUGAAAAAAUUAGAGUGUUUAAAGCAAGCUUUUGCUAUGAAUACAUUAGCAUGGAAUAAUAAUCUAGGACUUCGGUUCUAUUGAUUCGGUCAAGACUAACUUAUGCGAAAGCAUUCACCAAGGAUGUCUU